UCUGAGCUGACUGCCUUCUCUGAGCUGGC
rnacentral:piRNA from 1 species